UUGCAGGACCACCAGCAAUGUAUAUAAUCAGCUUGUUCUCCACAUCCUCUCCAACAAAGUGGAUUGAAACGAGUUGGGAGCGUAUCCCGGCGUGAACCAUGAUUGACGUAGAAAGCUGAAGUGAUCGCUAUGAUUUUUCCUCGGAGUACGGCUUUCAACGAGUCCCAUACGAUGUGGUGGGAGACUCCA